CGAGAGUGUGAGUGGGUGAGGGAAGGACAGCAGAUAUCUGAGUUGAGAAGGCAGUUUUCUGGCUAACUUACCAAAGCUUCAAUGCUGCUCCUCAUCCUCCUAUUCUUCAAGGGACUUGUCUGCCAUGGGGAAAGCACAGCAGCCCCCCAGGCUUUAGGAUUGCACCAUCCAGCAGAAGCAGAAGAGCCCCUCAUCUUCUGUGUGCUCUACAUUGCCUCCUUCAAAAACAACACCUGGGUAGAAUCCCACGGCUCAGCCUGGCUAGGUGAUCUGCAGACUCAAGGCUGGAAUGAUACCACAGAUACCAUCACGUUUCUGAAGCCCUGGUCCCAAGGAAACCUUAGUAAGGAGGAGUUGAAGAACCUCCAGGCACUUUUCCAGCUAUACUUCCAUGGCUUCCCCCUGGAAGUGCACAAUUUUGCUCAUCAGUUUCAGCUUGAAUGUGAGUGUGGUAUUCCCAAAUGAUGUUCUGUCUGAGGUCUCUGGCCAUCUUCAGAGUACGAGCUGGUGUAGAGCCUCUGACCAUCCUCCACCUUCCUGGCUUUAUUCUCUGUCUCCCUUUGGCUCACACAACCUCCUCUGCUUCAUUAUCCACCAUUAUACAUAUAGCACACCUGAGUGUGCACAUCCAUCCUACCUGUGGGCACAAUGUCAUCUUCUGCUUUCUCCAUAGCUUGAGUGUUCUUAUGCCACAACCUGGACAUCAUCUCUGUUGUAUGAGUUAUUAGAGACCAGUCUCUUGUCUGCCUGACAGCCUGCCCAUCUAUGCAUCCUCUUAAUUAUUUCAAAUUACUUUUAAUUUCAGAAUGACUUCUUACAAAUUUCCUUCCCAUUUUCCAUGCCAAGUCU
rnacentral:lncRNA from 1 species